GUGGGUGCGCAGCUACCAUGCAGUCGAGCGGUAGCACAGAGAGCUUGCUCUCGGGUGACGAGCGGCGGACGGGUGAGUAAUGUCUGGGAAACUGCCUGAUGGAGGGGGAUAACUACUGGAAACGGUAGCUAAUACCGCAUAACGUCGCAAGACCAAAGUGGGGGACCUUCGGGCCUCAUGCCAUCAGAUGUGCCCAGAUGGGAUUAGCUGGUAGGUGGGGUAACGGCUCACCUAGGCGACGAUCCCUAGCUGGUCUGAGAGGAUGACCAGCCACACUGGAACUGAGACACGGUCCAGACUCCUACGGGAGGCAGCAGUGGGGAAUAUUGCACAAUGGGCGCAAGCCUGAUGCAGCCAUGCCGCGUGUGUGAAGAAGGCCUUCGGGUUGUAAAGCACUUUCAGCGGGGAGGAAGGCGGUGAGGUUAAUAACCUCAUCGAUUGACGUUACCCGCAGAAGAAGCACCGGCUAACUCCGUGCCAGCAGCCGCGGUAAUACGGAGGGUGCAAGCGUUAAUCGGAAUUACUGGGCGUAAAGCGCACGCAGGCGGUCUGUCAAGUCGGAUGUGAAAUCCCCGGGCUCAACCUGGGAACUGCAUUCGAAACUGGCAGGCUAGAGUCUUGUAGAGGGGGGUAGAAUUCCAGGUGUAGCGGUGAAAUGCGUAGAGAUCUGGAGGAAUACCGGUGGCGAAGGCGGCCCCCUGGACAAAGACUGACGCUCAGGUGCGAAAGCGUGGGGAGCAAACAGGAUUAGAUACCCUGGUAGUCCACGCUGUAAACGAUGUCGAUUUGGAGGUUGUGCCCUUGAGGCGUGGCUUCCGGAGCUAACGCGUUAAAUCGACCGCCUGGGGAGUACGGCCGCAAGGUUAAAACUCAAAUGAAUUGACGGGGGCCCGCACAAGCGGUGGAGCAUGUGGUUUAAUUCGAUGCAACGCGAAGAACCUUACCUGGUCUUGACAUCCACAGAACUUACCAGAGAUGGUUUGGUGCCUUCGGGAACUGUGAGACAGGUGCUGCAUGGCUGUCGUCAGCUCGUGUUGUGAAAUGUUGGGUUAAGUCCCGCAACGAGCGCAACCCUUAUCCUUUGUUGCCAGCGGUUAGGCCGGGAACUCAAAGGAGACUGCCAGUGAUAAACUGGAGGAAGGUGGGGAUGACGUCAAGUCAUCAUGGCCCUUACGACCAGGGCUACACACGUGCUACAAUGGCAUAUACAAAGAGAAGCGACCUCGCGAGAGCAAGCGGACCUCAUAAAGUAUGUCGUAGUCCGGAUUGGAGUCUGCAACUCGACUCCAUGAAGUCGGAAUCGCUAGUAAUCGUAGAUCAGAAUGCUACGGUGAAUACGUUCCCGGGCCUUGUACACACCGCCCGUCACACCAUGGGAGUGGGUUGCAAAAGAAGUAGGUAGCUUAACUCGGAGGGCGCUACCACUUGAUAAGGAC
rnacentral:rRNA from 1 species